rnacentral:rRNA from 1 species
CAGCAGCCACGGGAAUACGUAGGGUGCGAGCGUUAAUCGGAAUUACUGGGCGUAAAGCGUGCGCAGGCGGUUGUGUAAGACAGGUGUGAAAUCCCCGGGCUUAACCUGGGAACUGCGCUUGUGACUGCACAGCUAGAGUAUGGCAGAGGGAGGUGGAAUUCCACGUGUAGCAGUGAAAUGCGUAGAGAUGUGGAGGAACACCGAUGGCGAAGGCAGCCCCCUGGGCCAAUACUGACGCUCAUGCACGAAAGCGUGGGGAGCAAACAGGAUUAGAUACCCGCGUAGUCCCUGUCUCUUAUAC